GAUGAACGCUGGCGGCGUGCCUAGCACAUGCAAGUCGAGCGAAGAUAGAGACGAGUAUUCGUACAAAUUUUUAUCUUAGCGGCGGACGGGUGAGUAACACGUGAGUAACCUGCCUUUCACUGGGGAAUAACAUCGAGAAAUCGGUGCUAAUACCGCAUAAUGUCACGAGACUGCAUGGUUUUGUGACCAAAGGAGUAAUCCGGUGAUAGAUGGACUCGCGUCCGAUUAGAUAGUUGGUGAGGUAACGGCCCACCAAGUCUACGAUCGGUAGCCGAACUGAGAGGUUGAUCGGCCACAUUGGGACUGAGACACGGCCCAGACUCCUACGGGAGGCAGCAGUGGGGAAUAUUGGGCAAUGGGCGAAAGCCUGACCCAGCAACGCCGCGUGAAGGAAGAAGGUCUUCGGAUUGUAAACUUCUUUGAUCAGGGACGAAUAAAUGACGGUACCUGAAGAACAAGCCACGGCUAACUACGUG
rnacentral:rRNA from 1 species